ACUAUAGCGCCUACAUUACAACUAUCCAGGACCUGCGAGAUAAGAUUCUUGGUGCCACCAUUGAGAACUCAAAGAUUGUUCUGCAAAUUGACAAUGUCCAGCUGGCUGUGGAUG
rnacentral:pre_miRNA from 1 species